rnacentral:rRNA from 1 species
CUACGGGGUGCACCAGUGGGGAAUUUUGGACAAUGGGGGCAACCCUGAUCCAGCCAUGCCGCGUGAGUGAAGAAGGCCUUCGGGUUGUAAAGCUCUUUCAGCCGGGAAGAAAUCGCAUGGGCCAAUACCCUGUGCGGAUGACGGUACCGGAAUAAGAAGCACCGGCUAACUACGUGCCAGCAGCCGCGGUAAUACGUAGGGUGCGAGCGUUAAUCGGAAUUACUGGGCGUAAAGCGUGCGCAGGCGGAUGCUUAAGUCAGAUGUGAAAUCCCCGGGCUUAACCUGGGAAUUGCAUUUGAAACUGGGUGUCUAGAGUGCGUCAGAGGGGGGUGGAAUUCCACGUGUAGCAGUGAAAUGCGUAGAUAUGUGGAGGAACACCAAUGGCGAAGGCAGCCCCCUGGGAUGACACUGACGCUCAUACACGAAAGCGUGGGGAGCAAACAGGAUUAGAUACCCGGGUAGUC